rnacentral:rRNA from 1 species
UGGGGAAUUUUGGACAAUGGGCGCAAGCCUGAUCCAGCCAUGCCGCGUGUGUGAAGAAGGCCCUCGGGUUGUAAAGCACUUUCAGCGAGGAAGAACGCCUAGCGGUUAAUACCCGCUAGGAAAGACAUCACUCGCAGAAGAAGCACCGGCUAACUCCGUGCCAGCAGCCGCGGUAAUACGGAGGGUGCAAGCGUUAAUCGGAAUUACUGGGCGUAAAGCGCGCGUAGGUGGCUUGAUAAGCCGGUUGUGAAAGCCCCGGGCUCAACCUGGGAACGGCAUCCGGAACUGUCAAGCUAGAGUGCAGGAGAGGAAGGUAGAAUUCCCGGUGUAGCGGUGAAAUGCGUAGAGAUCGGGAGGAAUACCAGUGGCGAAGGCGGCCUUCUGGACUGACACUGACGCUCAUGCACGAAAGCGUGGGGAGCAAACAGGAUUAGAUACCCCAGUAGUCCCUGAGCGGGCUGGCAAGGCGCAU